GAAGAAGAAAAGUAGAGACGCGCUCCGAACUGCUGCUUUAAAACAAAAGAUUUUAGACGUUUUCAAAGCAUCUCGAAUCAUUUACAAGUGAAAACAUGCAUUCGGAGCAGGCAUAAGAACAGAAACCUAGAUCGAGUUUAUUGAAGAUUGCAGUGAGAACACGAGUGAUCCAGAACCCUUCAAGAGUGGAGCAUUAAGAUACUGAAGAAGAAAGAGUUCACAAGUGAAGACGAGCAUCAAAGCAUCAGGAAGAGCUGAAAUCUGCAAAGACUGAGUUUAUUAAAGAGGACGGAGAUAAUAUGGGAGAUCCAGAACCUUGCAGAAUCAAACACACUGAAGAUACUGAAGAACAAACAGAGCUGAUUGAAAAAAACCAGGAGAGUGAAGAAUUGAGUGAAGUUGAAGAGAAAAAUCACUUCAAAACUGGAGAAAAACUUUUGAGUUGCUCUCAAACCAAACAGAAAGAU